CGGGGCCCGACGGGCUCUCUGUGUGGCCGCGGCCAUGAAGCCGCAGCCGCCGGGCUAGGCCCCGGGCGGCUCUAGCCCAGGGCGGCCCGCGGAGGGCUGGGCCCAGCCUCCGGGCCCGGUUCCCGGGCCGGCGUGCGGCCACUCACCAUGCCCGGCAAGCACCAGCACUUCCAGGAACCCGAGGUCGGCUGCUGCGGGAAAUACUUCCUGUUUGGCUUCAACAUCGUCUUCUGGGUGCUGGGGGCCCUGUUCCUGGCCAUCGGUCUCUGGGCCUGGAGUGAGAAGGGCGUUCUCUCCAACAUCUCAGCACUGACAGAUCUGGGAGGCCUUGACCCUGUGUGGCUGUUUGUGGUGGUUGGAGGCGUCAUGUCCGUGCUGGGCUUUGCCGGCUGCAUUGGGGCCCUCCGGGAGAACACCUUCCUGCUCAAAUUUUUCUCCGUGUUCCUUGGCCUCAUCUUCUUCCUGGAGCUGGCAACAGGGAUCCUGGCCUUCGUCUUCAAGGACUGGAUUCGAGACCAGCUCAACCUCUUCAUCAACAACAAUGUCAAGGCCUAUCGGGACGACAUUGACCUCCAGAACCUCAUUGACUUUGCUCAGGAAUACUGGUCUUGCUGCGGAGCCCGAGGGCCCAACGACUGGAACCUCAAUAUCUACUUCAACUGCACUGACUUGAACCCCAGCCGGGAGCGCUGCGGGGUCCCCUUCUCCUGCUGCGUCAGGGACCCAGAGGAGGAUGUCCUCAACACUCAGUGUGGCUACGACGUCCGGCUCAAACUGGAGCUGGAGCAGCAGGGCUUCAUCCACACCAAAGGCUGCGUGGGCCAGUUUGAAAAGUGGCUGCAGGACAACCUGAUUGUUGUGGCAGGGGUCUUCGUGGGCAUCGCCCUUCUCCAGAUCUUUGGCAUCUGCCUGGCCCAGAACCUCGUCAGCGACAUCAAGGCAGUGAAGGCCAACUGGUGAGGCUGCCACACUGGCCAUGGCCAUUCGCCUGGCUGACCCAGGGACCCUCCACUCUGCCCAUAAUGGGCAAGGCUGCAGGAGGUGUUUCUGCUUGGACCUGAACCCCACAUGGGGCUCGCGGGCCACUGCACUGUGCGCCCAUGGAGAGCCGCAUGGCUCUGCCCGGCUGCCUGUCCUGGAGCUGUGUGUAUGGAGGGAUCAAAUAUGAUGACGGCUACAAACUACUCAAAUAAACAAAUCCUUGAAAACCA